UACAGAGGGGGCGAGCGUUGUUCGGAAUUACUGGGCGUAAAGGGCGCGUAGGCGGCCAACUAAGUCAGACGUGAAAUCCCUCGGCUCAACUGGGGAACUGCGUCCGAUACUGGAUGGCUUGGAUUUGGGAGAGGGAUGCGGAAUUCCAGGUGUAGCGGUGAAAUGCGUAGAUAUCAGGAGGAACACCGGUGGCGAAGGCGGCUUGCUGGGCCAGUUCUGACGCUGAGGAGCGAAAGCGUGGGGAGCGAACAGG
rnacentral:rRNA from 1 species